GCUAAGAAGAAAAGAGCAACUAGGCAGAAAGGAGCAGCUUAAACUUCAGGGAAAGCAGGGAGGAACAGCCUGAGCUCAGCGAGACAUGGACUUCAACGUUACUGGGGUGGAUUCUUAGCAUUCAGAGAAAAGAUGGAAGUAGGAAGACUGAAGCUCACUGGCCUGAGAGAAGUGAAGAUCCAGCCAAGAGAGGAGCCCAUAGAAAUUCUAAUCAUCUAUGUCACUUGUGCUGGAUUGACUGCAAAAACGGCUGCAAUUACUCGCCCCUUCCUAUGUAUACAUCAUUUGCAACAAGACCUUGCAGCAUCUCCCAUUAAGAGAUGUCCCUGUGGGCUUCCCUGGUGGCGCAGUGGUGGAGAGUCUGCCUGCCAAUGCAGGGGACGUGGGUUCGGGCCCUGGUCCGGGAGGAUCCCACAUGCUGCAGAGCAACUAGGCUUGUGUGCCACAACUACUGAGCCUGUGCUCUGGAGCCCACGUGCCACAACUACUGAAGCCCGCGCGCCUGGAGCCUGUGCUCCGCAACAGGAGAAGCCACCGCAAUGAGGGGCCCGCACGCCGCAAUGGGGGGUGGCCCCCGCUCGCCGCAGCUAGAGAAAGCCCAUGCGCAGCAAUGAAGACCCAACGCAGCCAAAAAUAAAUAAAUAAAAAUA